GUGGAAUACCCACCUCAGUAGCACAUACACUAACGUUGGAAUGACACAAAGAACGUCAGCACAGCCCCAGCCCAAGGCUGACACACAAAUUUGUGAAGCAUUCCACAUUUUA
ensembl:snRNA U6 U6 spliceosomal RNA